CCUGUCCUGCCCUCCAGGCUCCUGGACUUCCCAUGAACUCACACUGCUGAUUUCCGGCCUCACAAACGCUCCCUUCCCCAGACCAUGGGGCCAGGGCUAAGCCCACAGGAAGGCUGGGCCAUGUCCCCCGCACCCAGGUCCCUGAGGGGCUGAGGCCUGGGCCCCCCAAGGCAGAGGCAAAGGGGCCACAGCUGGGUCCCUGCCUCCCUGGGACGGAGCCAGCAGGCUGGGGCAGGAGUCAGCUGGAGCUCUAAGCCACCCCGGUCCUCUUGAGCGCUGUGGCUGCGUCCUAGGCACUGGCGUCCCAACUGGAGAGAAUCUGGAGUCAGCGCAGGCCUCAGUCCUCCCUCCUCACUCCCAGCUGGCCACCAGCUCAAGAGAAGCUUCUGUAACCCCAAGAACUGUCGCCUGCCCAGAGCAGGUGAGGAAAUGCUCUGAGUCAGGGCGUUUCAGGCUAGCUGUGAGGGCACAAAGGAAGCUGUUUCUCCGAGCUUGGCACUGAGGAGUCAUAGCCAUGCUGGUAAAUGAGAGCCCAGGGCAGCAGUGGCAGGAGUUGAGUGUUUCCAAACCAUACUGCCGCAUGCCACACAACUAUGGACAAGCUGUGUCCACCUUCUGGGCCUCAAUUUCCCAUCUCUGAAGUCAAGCUGCUGUCAGCAAGGCGGGAGAGAACAGGGUGGGAACAUACCCCGACUUUGUGCCCACCCCAGCCGCAGAGUCCUCCAGAGGAACAGGGUCCACAGGCCAGAGGGAGAGAUAGGAAGAGAUUCAGUACAGAGGCUGAGAAGCCCUGUGACCUGCCCCCGGCCAGCUAGAGACCCAGAGAGCAGAGGGUCUGAAGACCCGGGCAAGUGAUGGGGACUUCUGGCUUGAGGUCGAAGUGCAGGUCCCAGAGUCCAAAGUGGAAGAGCCAGGGGCAGGGAAAUGAAUGUCCCAGUUCAAGAAGACAGACGGCCUCUCGCCCGCCUUCUGCGGUCUGCUCCUUCGACAGAUUAGACAACGCGGCUGUCCUGAAGUCUGCCUACUGUCCAUAGUGCACCUGGGGCGGCCCGCUCCUCUCCACUGACUGGAACCUGGCGGCACCUCAGGGUCACCCUCCCUGACCUUUGUCCCGAGCCUACUAUCCGGAUGCAGAGAUUAGAAAGACAAAGACCCUUGGGAAAUUCCACAGUCCCAAACCGGGACACUUGCGCAGGGCCUCGCAGCAUGACCUGCUGCGACCUCGCUCCACGUGGAGCUCAAAGGUUCGCGCUGUGUGGGGCAUCUCCGUCCUCCAGUUGCACCAGAGUGAACUACGGGAGCGGACACGCGCAGUAGAUGGC
rnacentral:lncRNA from 1 species